CCCACAAUUAACCGAAUCCCUCAAUCAACAAAUCAAUGACCCAUCGCAUCACCCCCCCCCCCCCCAUUAAAAAUAAACCUCGAAAGUCUCUAGAGUCGAUCUUCACUGAUAAAUAUCAACGUCGAUUUUGCAAACCGCAGCCGCUCCUUAUCGUAUAUAUAUAUAUUUUUUGAAUCGUGCCGAGAGCUCCUGCUGUUCCGAUAACUCUCGAGAUGAUAAAUAUCGUGAAAAAUAAGGUCCAAGAAAUUGAGGAAUUCAAAAUCUCUGUCCAGUCUAGUAGGAUUUAAAAGCAGAGGCGAAAGAUUUUACAAUCUCCUGAUGUCAGGAAAAUAAGUGGGAGAGAUUUCAGGGCGGUCUUGGGAUUUUUCUCUUUCAUGCCGGCUGGGACAAGACCCAGAAAUUUUCCUGGAAUGAGGGAAGUGGCCCAAGUGCUUCUCUUCAGAAAAUAAAUGGACGAGAGGAAACGGCCCGAGGUUUCUUAUUUUCGAGCCCUUCAACAAGUGCGGAGCGACUUAUUUUACGUAAAACAGUUUUUCAAAAUUUUGAAUGUACCUUUGGCCUGAUCCAUUGUGCCCCGGGUACCCAUAUCAGUGGAAAGAGAACUUUGGAGUGCAAAUGUUUGAACAAAAUGUGAAGGAUUACGUGAGAAGAAGGGCGCACGUGUUGAUUGUGGAAGGGGAGAAUGAAGAGAACUGAAAAGUUUGGAGGGUAUGGAGUGGGGGAAAUAUGAAAGAUUUCGACACUUCGCUGAAUCAUAAAAUUGGUGGGUGCAUUGAAAUUUUGGUGAUUCGCU